rnacentral:rRNA from 1 species
GACGAACGCUGGCGGCGUGCUUAACACAUGCAAGUCGAACGGAAAGGCCCUGCUUUUGUGGGGUGCUCGAGUGGCGAACGGGUGAGUAACACGUGAGUAACCUGCCCUUGACUUUGGGAUAACUUCAGGAAACUGGGGCUAAUACCGGAUAGGAGCUCCUGCUGCAUGGUGGGGGUUGGAAAGUUUCGGCGGUUGGGGAUGGACUCGCGGCUUAUCAGCUUGUUGGUGGGGUAGUGGCUUACCAAGGCUUUGACGGGUAGCCGGCCUGAGAGGGUGACCGGCCACAUUGGGACUGAGAUACGGCCCAGACUCCUACGGGAGGCAGCAGUGGGGAAUAUUGCACAAUGGGCGGAAGCCUGAUGCAGCAACGCCGCGUGCGGGAUGACGGCCUUCGGGUUGUAAACCGCUUUCGCCUGUGACGAAGCGUGAGUGACGGUAAUGGGUAAAGAAGCACCGGCUAACUACGUGCCAGCAGCCGCGGUGAUACGUAGGGUGCGAGCGUUGUCCGGAUUUAUUGGGCGUAAAGGGCUCGUAGGUGGUUGAUCGCGUCGGAAGUGUAAUCUUGGGGCUUAACCCUGAGCGUGCUUUCGAUACGGGUUGACUUGAGGAAGGUAGGGGAGAAUGGAAUUCCUGGUGGAGCGGUGGAAUGCGCAGAUAUCAGGAGGAACACCAGUGGCGAAGGCGGUUCUCUGGGCCUUUCCUGACGCUGAGGAGCGAAAGCGUGGGGAGCGAACAGGCUUAGAUACCCUGGUAGUCCACGCUGUAAACGGUGGGUACUAGGUGUGGGGUCCAUUCCACGGGUUCCGUGCCGUAGCUAACGCUUUAAGUACCCCGCCUGGGGAGUACGGCCGCAAGGCUAAAACUCAAAGGAAUUGACGGGGCCCCGCACAAGCGGCGGAGCAUGCGGAUUAAUUCGAUGCAACGCGUAGAACCUUACCUGGGUUUGACAUGGAUCGGGAGUGCUCAGAGAUGGGUGUGCCUCUUUUGGGGUCGGUUCACAGGUGGUGCAUGGCUGUCGUCCGCUCGUGUCGUGAGAUGUUGGGUUAAGUCCCGCAACGAGCGCAACCCUUGUUCACUGUUGCCAGCACGUUAUGGUGGGGACUCAGUGGAGACCGCCGGGGUCAACUCGGAGGAAGGUGGGGAUGACGUCAAGUCAUCAUGCCCCUUAUGUCCAGGGCUUCACGCAUGCUACAAUGGCUGGUACAGAGAGUGGCGAGCCUGUGAGGGUGAGCGAAUCUCGGAAAGCCGGUCUCAGUUCGGAUUGGGGUCUGCAACUCGACCUCAUGAAGUCGGAGUCGCUAGUAAUCGCAGAUCAGCAACGCUGCGGUGAAUACGUUCCCGGG